rnacentral:rRNA from 1 species
UGGGGAAUAUUGGACAAUGGGCGAAAGCCUGAUCCAGCCAUGCCGCGUGUGUGAAGAAGGUCUUCGGAUUGUAAAGCACUUUAAGUUGGGAGGAAGGGCCAUUACCUAAUACGUGAUGGUUUUGACGUUACCGACAGAAUAAGCACCGGCUAACUCUGUGCCAGCAGCCGCGGUAAUACAGAGGGUGCAAGCGUUAAUCGGAAUUACUGGGCGUAAAGCGCGCGUAGGUGGUUUGUUAAGUUGGAUGUGAAAUCCCCGGGCUCAACCUGGGAACUGCAUUCAAAACUGACUGACUAGAGUAUGGUAGAGGGUGGUGGAAUUUCCUGUGUAGCGGUGAAAUGCGUAGAUAUAGGAAGGAACACCAGUGGCGAAGGCGACCACCUGGACUAAUACUGACACUGAGGUGCGAAAGCGUGGGGAGCAAACAGGAUUAGAUACCCAAGUAGUCCCUGAGCGGGCUGGCAAGGCGCAU